AUUGAACGCUGGCGGCAGGCCUAACACAUGCAAGUCGAGCGAGCGGCGGACGGGUGAGUAAUGUCUGGGAAACUGCCUGAUGGAGGGGGAUACAACUGGAAAACGUAGCCAAUACCCCCUAGCAUCAGGUGUGCCCCGAUGGGGUUAGGUAGUAGGUGGGGGAACGGCUCACCUAGGCGACGAUCCCUAGCGGGUCUUAGAGGAUGACCCGCCACACUGGAACGGAGACACGGUCCAGACUCCUACGGGAGGCAGCAGUGGGGAAUAUUGCACAAGGGGCGCAAGCCUGAUGCAGCCAUGCCGCGUGUGUGAAGAAGGCCUUCGGGUUGUAAAGCACUUUCAGCGGGGAGGCGUUACCCGCAGAAGAAGCACCGGCUAACUCCGUGCCAGCAGCCGCGGUAAUUC
rnacentral:rRNA from 1 species